rnacentral:snRNA from 1 species
AUGCGCGUUUUUACUUUGAUUGCGAUUUUGUUUAGUUCAUCUUUGUUAACACAUGCAUUCUCCUCUAAUUAUGCUCCUGUAGGCAUAUCAUUACCUGCUUUUACCAAAGAAUGUCUUUACUAUGAUUUAUCCUCUGAUAAAGAUGUCCUUGUGGUCAGUUACCAAGUUUUGACAGGUGGGAAUUUCGAGAUAGACUUCGAUAUUACCGCCCCUGAUGGCUCUGUUAUCGUCACUGAAAGACAAAAGAAGCAUUCUGAUUUUCUACUGAAGUCGUUUGGUAUAGGUAAGUACACUUUCUGUUUGAGUAAUAACUACGGCACUUCCCCAAAGAAAGUUGAAAUCACCCUCGAAAAGGAAAAGGAAAUUGUUUCUUCCCAUGAAAGCAAAGAGGACAUAAUCGCAAACAACGCCAUCGAGGAAAUUGAUAGGAACCUGAAUAAGAUCACCAAAACAAUGGAUUAUUUAAGGGCUAGAGAAUGGAGAAACAUGUAUACUGUGAGUUCUACUGAGUCAAGAUUAACAUGGCUCUCAUUACUAAUUAUGGGGGUAAUGGUUGGUAUCAGUAUAGUGCAGGCAUUAAUUAUUCAGUUCUUUUUUACCAGUCGCCAAAAAAACUACGUA